rnacentral:rRNA from 1 species
UACGUAGGGACCGAGCGUUGUCCGGAAUCAUUGGGCGUAAAGAGCGUGUAGGCGGCUAUUUAAGUCCUGCGUGAAGUCCUGCGGCUCAACCGCAGACGGUCGUGGGAAACUGGAUGGCUAGAGUGCGGGAGAGGAGAGUGGAAUUCCCGGUGUAGCGGUGAAAUGCGCAGAUAUCAGGAAGAACACCCGUGGCGAAGGCGGCUCUCUGGAACGCAACUGACGCUGAGACGCGAAAGCGUGGGGAGCAAACAGG